rnacentral:lncRNA from 1 species
UGUCGCCUUGGAUUUUUCCGUAUAUCUUGUUAAUCCGUUUUAUCCGGUACGCUUCCGUUAAGUGUCCGUUUUAUACGUUACUCGUCCGUUGUAUGUACGUUCGACAUCCGUUCUGUUCGGUACGUGUCUGUUUCUCGUACGUCGCAUAUCCGUAGGUGUUCGUUAUGUAUCCGUUACACGUCCGUUUUAUUCGGUCAGUACAUCAACGGACUCUAAACGGAUAACAAUUUUGUCAACCGACAACUUUUAUUUUCAUCCGUUAGGUGUCCGUUCGUGCUAUCCGGUAAGAUGUGACCGAGGCUUGUAAGAGGGACAAAAGAUACUAAAGGGAUAGUCAAAGGUAAGCAGAUACUGCUCCACAUGUGGCACCCGUCGUGUUGAUUAUGUGAUUACUAAUGUGCUAAGUUAUGAAAACUGCUUUGUCACAAUACAAUAUUACAUAAUUUAAUUUUGGAUAUAAGGCGUCUUCUGAUUGGCUGAC